rnacentral:snRNA from 1 species
GGCUCCCAAAGGCACGUGUCG